rnacentral:rRNA from 1 species
UACGGGGGGGGCAAGCGUUGUUCGGAAUUACUGGGCGUAAAGGGCUCGUAGGUGGCCAACUAAGUCAGACGUGAAAUCCCUCGGCUUAACCGGGGAACUGCGUCUGAUACUGGAUGGCUUGAGUUCGGGAGAGGGAUGCGGAAUUCCAGGUGUAGCGGUGAAAUGCGUAGAUAUCUGGAGGAACACCGGUGGCGAAGGCGGCGUCCUGGACCGACACUGACACUGAGGAGCGAAAGCCAGGGGAGCAAACGGG